CACAAAAGGAGAAUUACCUACAUUUGCUCGACCCUGGAUAACAUACAACUAUUUAUUGAUUCCAGUCGCAUAUCCAGGCAACAGUUGGUUUAUUUUUCUUGUUGAUUUUGAAAAGUGGAAAUUUCAAGUAUAUGAUUGCAGCCACAACAUUCAUACACCAGAUGCAAUCAAGUUACGUGCAGCCCCAGUUUUGGAUGUAGUACAAUCAUUAUUAAUAGCUACUGACAUUUUCUUCGGGAAGCCAAAUUUAUGAAAACAUAGAAAUAAACGUAUGAAAUUGGAAAUCAUACCAUAUCUACCUUGUCAAAAUAAUGGGCCAAACUCUGGAGUUCUUCUUCUCAAAUACAUUGAAUGCUUCAUUUUCGGAUAUCCAUUAGAAGCAGUUUCAACUGAGAAAAUACGUUUAUACAAACGAAAAAUUGUCACAGAUAUCUGUCAAAAUGAAUAUUUUUUCCGUCCAUAUUUAUCAUAACCAUAACAAAGAAGGUAUGCCCUAUCAUGAUUGAUGUUGAAACCAAGAAGAAAAAGCUUUUCAUCACCCAUCAUGUAAGUAUCAUGUAUUCAAAUAUCAAGUAUAUCAAAGAAUUGCCGUUUUAACAAUUUCUUAUCAAUGUUUCAUUUUCUUCCUUUUGUAAUAACGCUAUUAACUUUUGAAAGUGAUCAUUAUAAUCUCAUUUGUAUUUCAAUUU